GGGCCCCUUCCCGGCCCGGCCCUGCCCCGGGGGGCCCCGCUCGGAGGGAAGGAAAACAGGUCACCUGGCCUCCCCCUCUCUCUUUGUUCUCCAACAUCUUCGGCUGGCUCCUUGCAGAGGACGGGCUCUGGCCAUCACUUGCCAGGAUAGAGAAUUUUGGCCAUUCUCUACGCCCAGGCAGCCACUCUGCCGUCACAUCUGCCCUCUAGAGGUCUCUGCAGUGAUCACACUGCUGUAUCCCACCAGCUUGAUACUUGUGUAACACAUGGGGAAACUGAGGCACACACAGUAUUCAGAGAAAACCUUAAGAACAAUCCCGCUUCAUCAGACCCCUCUGAGACCAGCCCAGGGGCACUUUCUCCAGUGGCUGGAACCAUUCUGAGGAUACCAGCCCCUGAGCCUGAACCUGCAAGCGAUGGAGAGACCUGGGGAAAGGGCUGGAGCUGGGCAGGGAAAUGACUCUGCACGAAAGGCGCCUUUCAGGGACUAGCUGCAUGGCAGAGUCAUAGAAUCAGAGCGUCUGUCUGCAGGGAGAGAGCCUGGGGGGACUUGGGGAGUGACAUGGACUCCAGCCCCUUAUGAAACCUGCCCAAUCUCCCUGCUCCUCUGACAGGCUGAGGAAUCGCGUCCACGUUUCGCUCCAGAUUGUCCCGUCUUGCAGGGGACAGGGCAGGGAAAUGGCUGUGAUGGAGCCAGCUGA